rnacentral:rRNA from 1 species
UAGUCAAUGCUCGCAAGAGUGAWCUAGCUAACUGAAAUCAUAUAUGUGUCAUWWGUGAUAAAGUAAGGGAAAAUAAUGAUAUUACCUUAUUAUUASYGUUGUCCAAAACUGGUGCCAGAAGACUCGGUAAGGCCAGAGACGCGAACGUUAGUCGUCCUAAUCAGGCGUAAAGGGUUUGUAGGCUGCUUUAAAAGUUUUAUUUUUAAUAUAGCUAAAAUAAAGAUAAGAUCAAUUAAAGCUAGAAUCAAAUAGAGGGUAAACCAAAUAAUACUUAGAGUAGGGCCGAUAUCCAUAAAUACUAGGUGGAAUACUAAAGGUGAAAGCUUUUUAUCUACUAAUGAUUGACGCUGAGAAACGAAGGUGAGGAAAGGAAACAGGAUUAGAUACCCACAUACCCCUCUCUGUCAACGAUGAAUGGUGGCUUGCUAAUUGAAUAAAACAUUAAAAAUUUAAUGUAAUUAUAAUAAAAAAUUGGUAGCGAUGUUAACRCGAUAACCAUUCCGCCUUGUGAGUACGACUGCAAAGUUGAAAACA